GGAGCGAACGGGAUUAGAAACCCCGGUAGUCCUAGCCGUAAACGAUGGAUGCUGGGUGUGGGAGGUAUAGAUCCCCUCCGUGCCGAAGCUAACGCGUUAAGCAUCCCGCCUGGGGAUUACGGCCGCAAGGCUUAAACUCAAGCGAAUUGACGGGGGCCCGCACAAGCAGCGGAGCGUGUGGUCUAAUUCGAUGCUACACGAAGAACCUUACCUGGGCUUGACAUGUAGGUAGUAGUGAAGCGAAAGCGGAACGACCCUUCGGGGAGCCUACACAGGUGCUGCAUGGCUGUCGUCAGUUCGUGCCGUGAGGUGUCGGGUUAAGUCCCGUAACGAACGCAACCCUUGCCCUUAGUUACAUGUGUCUAAGGGGACUGCCCGGGACAACUGGGAGCCCGCUGGGGACGACGUCAAGUCAGCAUGGCCUUUAUGUCCAGGGCUACACACACGCUACAAUGGCCGGUACAAUGGGUCGCCAAGCCGUGAGGCGGAGCCAAUCCCCCAAAGCCGGUCUAAGUUCGGAUUGUGGGCCGCAACUCGCCCAUAUGAAGCUGGAGUUGCUAGUAACCGCGCGUCAGCAAUCCCGCGCUGAUACGUUCCCGGGCAUUGUACACACCGCCCGUCACGUCAUGGAAGCUGGCAACACCUGAAGCCAGUGAACU
rnacentral:rRNA from 1 species